AAGUCGUAACAAGGUCUCCGUUGGUGAACCAGCGGAGGGAUCAUUAAAGAGUUGCAAAACUCCCAACCAUUGCUAAACAACCACUGUUUCUUCGGCGGGUGGCCGCAUGGCCGCGCGCACCCCUCUCGGGGGGACGCACCCCGCCGGAGCACACCAAACUCUUGUCAUUAUUGAUGCUCUGAGUAAAAAAACAAAAUUAUUACAACUUUCAACAAUGGAUCUCUUGGCUCUG
rnacentral:misc_RNA from 1 species